rnacentral:rRNA from 1 species
CUCUCAGUUCGGACUGGAGUCUGCAACCCGACUCCACGAAGCUGGAUUCGCUAGUAAUCGCGCAUCAGCCACGGCGCGGUGAAUACGUUCCCGGGCCUUGUACACACCGCCCGUCAAGCCAUGGGAGCCGGGGGUACCUGAAGUGCGUAACCGCGAGGAGCGCCCUAGGGUAAAACUGGUGACUGGGGCUAAGUCGUAACAAGGUAGC